rnacentral:lncRNA from 1 species
UGAUGAUGUUUUAUGCAUGUUGUUGAUUUUAUUUGACUGAUGAUUUUAAUAAAUUUUAGUAUUGUUUCAUGAGAUAAUGGAAGAUGUUUUUAAUUGUUUAAUUUUGCUGCGAUUAUUUUUUGUGAAAUAUGUUUAUGCUGAGAAAAUGUGACACCCUUUUUGAUUUUUUAUUUCCGCAUUAUGUUUUAAAAUCACAUGUUGGGGUUUA